rnacentral:lncRNA from 1 species
CUGUGUUUACGAGUGUCUUGUGUUCAGAUUGUUUUAAGUGAUAAUUUAACAAUAUUUUUCCAAAUAAAUGGAAAGAAACUUUUAUUUAUAUCAAAUAAUUGAGUGUCUCGACUGUGUGACAUUAUGUCUUGUGUGGUAUGGGGCUGCAGCUCACAUUCAGGAAGAAAAGAAAAUAGCCAACAACUUCUGUCGUUUCAUCGAUAUUAAAUCCAAAAGUGUCGACUGGAUUUACAUGAAAAGUCAGUUCAAGAAGACGAGAUGAAAAAUUUAAAAGAAAAGCUGAACAAGUCCCGCCUCAAGAUCAAACGACUUAAUGAAAAAAAAAACAAUGUGACAGGGUGUCACAAAGACAGUUUCUAAGCAAAUUGACACUGUUUAGAAAUUAAUAAAUUUGUAUUUAUUGUAAAUAUAAUGUACAUAAUUAAUAACGUGUGAAAUAAAUACUUGCUAAUGAAAAUGAACAGAUUUACGAUCUAAUUUAUAUUUCAUUUUACCUCCUGUUCUUAUUUACUCCUACUCCAACACUCCAGGUUGAUACGAACUGCGCCCAAUAAAGAAUGUAAUGAAUGUUAUAGAUUUGUGUAAGCGACUUAGAUAAAUCUUGACUAAACCUUCCUUUACAAAUACAAAUAUACUUUAUUGCACACAACAUACAAUACUUACAAGUUUUACACGAAAGAUACAGUACACCACCUACCUACCUUUUACUUUCCCUUUCUGUUCUCUUAUGAAUACUUGUAUGCCGUAUUUUUUUAAGUAUAAUGCUAUAUCUAGUAGGUACGAGUAUGGUAAUCCUAUUAUUGAAACAGCUUGUAGCCCUAGUAAAGACCGCCAUUUUAUGUUUACAGAGUGGCACGUUUUUUCUGUAGGUAUUUCCAGUCCAUACUCUUUUCUAUGUCUAUGGCGUGACCCCAUCGGGCCUCUUACCGUCUGUGCGGCUUAGACCCGGCGGCGGCGGUUCCAAUUUGCACGGCACGUCGAUCGACACCAGUGCACGGCGGAUGACAUCAUAAAUAAAUUCGAAUAUUACAAAAUACUUACCGAUGAAACGAUAACAGUUGGCUAUUUUCUUUCCUUCCUGAAUGUGAGCUGCAGCUCCAAACUAAUAUAAACCAGACAAUAUAAUCCAAAAAUGGUUAGAUACUUACCUA